rnacentral:rRNA from 1 species
CCAAGGAGUCUAGCGUGUGCGCGAGUCAUUGGGAUAACACUAAACCUAAAGGCGUAAUGAAAGUAAAAGUUCGUCUAGCACGAACAGAGGGAAGACGGUCGAUUCAUUACGAACCGGCCCGCAUUCCCGGGGCGUCUCGUUCUCAUUGCGAGAAGAGGCGCACCAAGAGCGUACACGCUGGGACCCGAAAGAUGGUGAACUAUGCCUGGUCAGGACGAAGUCAGGGGAAACCCUGAUGGAGGUCCGUAGCGAUUCUGACGUGCAAAUCGAUCGUCGGAACUGGGUAUAGGGGCGAAAGACUAAUCGAACCAUC